CUCUUUCCCUCUCUUUCUCUCUUGCUUUCUCUCAACUAAUCUCUCUCUCUCUCAGUCUCCCUUUCGCGAUUACACUACACAGCACAUCAUAUUACUCUAUUCACAAACAGCCUGUGUAUAAACUUCACUUAAAAAAAAAAAUUCCCUUUAAUAUAUACCUAUUAUGUAGUGAUUAGAUUACUUUGAAUGGUGAGGCCAAUAUUUAUUUGAGUAAUGGACUUGUGAUCCAUUCCUUCCAUCAUUGACAUCUACAAUCUCGACGACAUCAUCACUGUCUCCUAGCUCCGUUCCACCAUCGCUUCUCAGAUCCGCAAGAACUCUCACUCCACCAAUCCCAAGCUUUUCAAUUGUGGUAGUAUCUUUCGAAGAAAUUACUUGAACGCUAGCUUGGAAUUGUUCAAGUUAGACGCUCCCUAUAGUAACGAUGAGAUCAAUGCCGUACUGGAUGAGUGGGCCGAAUUUGUGAAGCCUUUGAUUAUAGAUUAAGUACUUAAGGUUACUACACUUUUGUUAUAAUGUAACAAGUUUUAUGAUUAUUGUUAUCUUUUGCAUAUGUUACUAGUUUAUAUUUAGUUUACGAUAUACAUGGAAUUUAAGUUUUAGAAUCGAUUUUAUUAACAAUUUUGGUAUUGUGUGAUUAGUUAAUAGAAUCGAUUACUAAUUUUAUAUAAGUUUUAAAAAUGUUAUUUUAA